AAUGGAGCUUAUCAGAAUCAUCAGUGGAGCUUUUAUUUUCUUUAAAAGAUUUUUUUGAAAGGCUAUAGCAAAGACCUACUGUGGUAACACAGAUACACAGAAAAGUUUGAGAAUGACUGCUCUAAUAUAGUCACCCUAAUGUUUUAAGAAUUAUGUAUAUUUUAUAUUUUGCUGACCUUAGGGCUUUUCUAAAUGAUAAAGGUUCAGAUUUAUUUCUGUCAUCUCUAAACAUACAGUCAUAUCCCCUCCAGGCAGUUUCAGCGAUGCUACAUAACAAGUUUUCAGUUGAUCACACAUAGCUGUAAUAAAGCUUUGGGUAAAUGUGUUAGAUUUUUUUAAUACCAAGGUCAAAUCCCAAACAAAAAUUAACAAUCACUAGGGUAUCAGAAAACCACAGAGCUUUCUUACGAUCACAGACUCGUAAAGAUUUAUGAUACUAGCAGAGCAAUAGUCUCUUUAUCUUGAAUAAGAGAGUGAACAAAAAUCUGACCCAGAUAAAUAAUUUAGGCUUGGCUUUAAUUAGUUUCUGAUGCGAUUCUCUGGAUACUAAAAUCAUUUAUAUGUAAGCAUGACAGACGCCAAGCCCUCGGGCUCUUGAAAGCAACCGCUCUUCAGCCUUCAUUAGAGUGGCUGAGAAGACCGCUAAAUGCACUCUUAGACACGAGAGUGGCAACAAGGAGCCCAGGAUGACUACAAACUCACCUGCAAACCCCAAGGGUGAAACAACACUCAGCAGUUCCAUGGAACCAUCAGUGCUACCGAGUGGAGCCUCUGGGUCAAGUCCACGAUGGAGGACCCCUUCAGGUCUACUGGAAAAGGUGGCUCGUUACCAGAAGGUAUGAUGCUGUUCCCACAUGCUCAAGAGCCCUGAAGACCACAAAUGAUCACAUAUCUUCCCGAGCUUUAACCAAAACCCAAGGAGAGAAGACUGGCCUGCAACAUCAGCUAGGUAGGAAGUGCCCACACUCUGGACAGAGUACUGCUUGGGUUCAGAUCCCAGCUCUGCCUCUUAACAGCUAUGUGAACCUGGACAAGAUACUUCACACUUCUCUGUGCCUUGGUCAUGCCAUCUGUGAAAUGGGUUUCUCCUUCACAGGUUUAAGGAACAAAUGAGAAGUUACAUGUAAAACAUAUAGCAAUAUGACUGCACAGAGAAAACACUCAGCAAACAUUCAUUAUAUUUAUUUUUCUCUCAACCCUUUCUUCACCUAGAAAAUCAGAAGUGAUUAUAUUUCUCCACUUCUUAGGGUUGUCAGGAGAAUUAAAUGAGAUAACGCAUGGACUUUUCAAUGCCUAGCACCGUAGUCAAUAAAUGUUAGUGGAUUAUUUUAAACUUUAUACUUUUCAUUUCAAUUUCCACUUGAAUCAAGAAUUUAGAAAUCAGAACACAACUGCUUUCCCUACUAAGAUUCACAGGUAAUAGUUUUCUAGUUAGUCCUUUUUGUCUUUAUAUUCCUUCUUUUUUUUUUUUGAGCAAACCCUGACACAUGAGUCAGAUUAUAAUGGUACUGGCAUGACUCCAUGAAGUGCUAGCCAAGUGAGCUCAAGAAAUAUCACAAUCUUAGGUUUCUUAACUGUAAAACCAGAUAAAAAUGUCUCUCUUUUAAAGUAGAAAAAUCUCCAGAGGGUAAUGAAUGAAACAUGCUUUGUAAACAAUUAAACAAUGCAGCAAUGUAAGACCUUAUCGUUUUCCCAGGAUGAAUGAGGACUUACUAGAAUAAAUAGAGCUUAAUAUAGAUCUAUAAAGCAGUUUCUCCAUUGACUAGAACAGAUUUAAGUUUUAAUCUGCUUUAAAUGGUUAAGAAUCUCUUGGGAGAAGCUGAAUAGGACAGAAUUCCACCACAACCAUCAGUUAAUCAACGUGUGUGCUAUAGGAAAUGGGGCCAAAAGAAUAGGAAAUAGAUAUACUUUUUUCACAUGGAUCAAGAAGCUAAGCUUUACUUCCAAGUGCCAGGCCAAGUCUUCAGGCAUUUUGUGGAUAUGUUUGCUUCACGUUAAUUUUUAUUCUACGUCUCAACGGUCUCUAAUGUAGACAAUGAGCUAAACUUGGACGAUCUCUCAGUCUCUCUUCCUCUCUUUUUCUCCCACUCUCUAAAAAUAAAUCCACAAACAUCAACAGAACAUGGUAGGUAAGCGUUCACACUUCUACUAGAAAAUGAAUAUUAAUUAAUUCAAGAAAAAAAUCCUUAUUUCCAAUCCUCAAAAUGGUAGGUAUCUUUCUUUUUUCCCUCUAUUUUUCUUUAAAGCAAAUACAUUUUUUCUAUUUGAAUUUAUGAAUUGGUAUAUGCCUAAGAAAGUUAAAAGAAGAUUUGAGAUGUAAGAAAAGGAAUCUUUGUUACCUUUUCCCUUUUACCUCCACACAGGCAGUAGCACUGGUAACCCAAAUAGCUAGCCAUUAAGAUCUCCGUGUUAAUCCACCCCAAAAUAUCCUACUAUUAGUUCCAUACCAAAUGCAUUUUGUUCUGAUGAGGAAGAUGCUCAGAGCAGUCAAAAUGUUGAUAAAACCCAUGAAAAAGGAAGAAGAGGAAACACUUUCAUCUCACAAUGAGCGUAUCAAUGUACAAAGAAACUGAAGCCUACAGCCCCCGUCACAUGCCAACCUGCAGUUCAGUGUGAGAUCAGAGAACUUCCUCCUAGUGUCUGCAUCUAUUCCUAAUUGCCCUACUUAAAAGGGAAAAAAAAGUGAGAGAAAUAUAAAUUGGGGUUUAUGUGUGUGUGUAAACAGAUCUUUUUCCACUGUGUAUUUACUGAUUGUCUACCCUAAGCAGAGCACUGCCAGGCACACAAGGCUAAAUGAGACAUGGUCUGCUCUGUUGCAAAGGUUUCCUUCCAGAAAAGUGGAUUAGACAGAACAAUGGGGCCUUAUACCCACCCCUCUCCCUACCCCCUCACUCCCACUCUCCCCACAACCCUUACCCCCUCCCAC
ensembl:lincRNA